rnacentral:tRNA from 1 species
GCUCCGCAUCGCCCCCGGGGCCGGAGGCGCCCCGGUCUGACAGGCCGGGGGCCGGGGUGCUCGCCGGUGCCCACCGGCUCCGGGGCCCGGUGCGGAUGGCC